GACGAACGCUGGCGGCGUGCUUAACACAUGCAAGUCGAACGGAAAGGCCCUGCUUUUGUGGGGUGCUCGAGUGGCGAACGGGUGAGUAACACGUGAGUAACCUGCCCUUGACUUUGGGAUAACUUCAGGAAACUGGGGCUAAUACCGGAUAGGAGCUCCUGCUGCAUGGUGGGGGUUGGAAAGUUUCGGCGGUUGGGGAUGGACUCGCGGCUUAUCAGCUUGUUGGUGGGGUAGUGGCUUACCAAGGCUUUGACGGGUAGCCGGCCUGAGAGGGUGACCGGCCACAUUGGGACUGAGAUACGGCCCAGACUCCUACGGGAGGCAGCAGUGGGGAAUAUUGCACAAUGGGCGGAAGCCUGAUGCAGCAACGCCGCGUGCGGGAUGACGGCCUUCGGGUUGUAAACUGCUUUCGCCUGUGACGAAGCGUGAGUGACGGUAAUGGGUAAAGAAGCACCGGCUAACUACGUGCCAGCAGCCGCGGUGAUACGUAGGGUGCGAGCGUUGUCCGGAUUUAUUGGGCGUAAAGGGCUCGUAGGUGGUUGAUCGCGUCGGAAGUGUAAUCUUGGGGCUUAACCCUGAGCGUGCUUUCGAUACGGGUUGACUUGAGGAAGGUAGGGGAGAAUGGAAUUCCUGGUGGAGCGGUGGAAUACGCAGAUAUCAGGAGGAACACCAGUGGCGAAGGCGGUUCUCUGGGCCUUUCCUGACGCUGAGGAGCGAAAGCGUGGGGAGCGAACAGGCUUAGAUACCCUGGUAGUCCACGCUGUAAACGGUGGGUACUAGGUGUGGGGUCCAUUCCACGGGUUCCGUGCCGUAGCUAACGCUUUAAGUACCCCGCCUGGGGAGUACGGCCGCAAGGCUAAAACUCAAAGGAAUUGACGGGGCCCCGCACAAGCGGCGGAGCAUGCGGAUUAAUUCGAUGCAACGCGUAGAACCUUACCUGGGUUUGACAUGGAUCGGGAGCGCUCAGAGAUGGGUGUGCCUCUUUUGGGGUCGGUUCACAGGUGGUGCAUGGCUGUCGUCAGCUCGUGUCGUGAGAUGUUGGGUUAAGUCCCGCAACGAGCGCAACCCUUGUUCACUGUUGCCAGCACGUUAUGGUGGGGACUCAGUGGAGACCGCCGGGGUCAACUCGGAGGAAGGUGGGGAUGACGUCAAGUCAUCAUGCCCCUUAUGUCCAGGGCUUCACGCAUGCUACAAUGGCUGGUACAGAGAGUGGCGAGCCUGUGAGGGUGAGCGAAUCUCGGAAAGCCGGUCUCAGUUCGGAUUGGGGUCUGCAACUCGACCUCAUGAAGUCGGAGUCGCUAGUAAUCGCAGAUCAGCAACGCUGCGGUGAAUACGUUCCCGGG
rnacentral:rRNA from 1 species